rnacentral:tRNA from 1 species
GCGGGAAUAGCUCAGUUGGUAGAGCAUCAGCCUUCCAAGCUGAGGGUCGCGGGUUCGAACCCCGUUUCCCGCUCUA